GAUGAAGAACGCAGCGAAAUGCGAUAAGUAAUGUGAAUUGCAGAAUUCAGUGAAUCAUCGAAUCUUUGAACGCACAUUGCGCCCCUUGGUAUUCCGAGGGGCAUGCCUGUUCGAGCGUCAUUACACCACUCAAGCCCCCGGCUUGGUGUUGGACGGUUUGGCGGAGGCCCUCCGGGGCCCUUGCCCCUCCCAAAGACAAUGACGGCGGCCUCGUUGGACCCCCGGUACACUGAGUUCUUUACGGGACACGUACUGGAGUAAGGGUGCGCGGGGCACGGUCUGCCUCCCCUCAGGGAGAAUCUUUUUUUACAAGGUUGACCUCGGAUCAGGUAGGGAUACCCGCUGAACUUAAGCAUAUCAAUAAGCGGAGGA
rnacentral:misc_RNA from 1 species